UUGCUUUUUUUUUUUUCAAACCUCAGGAUCAAGAAAUCGAAUCGUAAGCUUUUUAGGAAGGAUUUUGCAGCUUGGAAAAUUAUUGCAACUUCAAAGAGAUGAUUUCUCUCACAUAAAUGCUGUACAAAGAAGCAACACCAAAAUUAUUAAUAUUAGUGCACGUCAAAGUUGAACCCUUGCUCUAGGUUCAUAAGACCUAAGAAAUCACUGUCAGCAAGCAGACUUUGGCAAAAGAAGCCAGGGCAAAAUGGGAACUCAUUACCCUUCCCCCUUCCUCAACUCAUUAGCCUUACUCUGCUCAGCUAGACGUGAUUUUAACUGCCUCUUGCUACAAAAAUGACCAUGGAAGGAUUCUGACUCUCCAAUCCUGAUCACAAACCCACCAUCUGUACUCAUCACUGUGGCCAGAGAGUGCAAUCCCCUAAUACAUGUCAAGAAAACAUGAUGAUGGAUGGAACUGACUGCCCUGCUGUUAUGCAGGUGCUGUGUUCUGUAUGUCAGUAUCCUAGAGAGCAGCACUUGCAUCCCAAGACACAACAGAAGCCAGAGAUCACCAAAGAUCACAUUUUAUGCCAGGGGGAGGUAGUGACCGAAAUACUGAUCCUUAAUAACAUGUGCACAGUGUUCUUUAGCAUCUGGGCAUUACCAGAAUUAUUUAAAAUAUAUAUAUUAAAAUUAUUAGUAUUUUAAAGAAGAUCA
ensembl:lncRNA